CCUACGGGAGGCAGCAGUGGGGGAUAUUGCACAAUGGGGGAAACCCUGAUGCAGCGACGCCGCGUGUGGGAAGACGGUCCUCUGGAUUGUAAACCACUGUCCCCAGGGACGAAGAUGACGGUACCUGGGGAGGAAGCUCCGGCAAACUACGUGCCAGCAGCCGCGGUCAUACGUAGGGAGCGAGCGUUGUCCGGAAUUACUGGGGGUAAAGGGAGCGUAGGCGGGACUGCAAGUUGGGUGUCAAAUCUACCGGCUCAACCGGUAGCCGCACUCAAAACUGCAGUUCUUGAGUGAAGGAGAGGCAGGCGGAAUUCCUAGUGUAGCGGUGAAAUGCGUAGAGAUUAGGAGGAACACUAGUGGCGAAGGCGGCCUGCUGGGCUUUUACUGACGCUGAGGCUCGAAAGUGUGGGGAGCAAACAGGAUUAGAUACCCCUGUAGUC
rnacentral:rRNA from 1 species